GGGGGCGUUUUUGGGAUUCGACGGGGAUAGAUCGAGCGUCAGUAGCGAGCCGAGGGGUUGCGUUUCUCGUUAAACACGCAAAACGCCAAAAAAGUAACUGGCAAACAAGAUAAUUUUGCUCUAGCUGCCUAAUAGUGUAGCUAGGAUCCACUUCUCCAUCGCCUAUGUGGAGUCGCUGGGUCUCACUCAUCAGUAGGCUAGCAACCUCGGGCGCCACCCUCGAGGAAGCGAAAUUAAGCGUGGCUGGUCUUUAAAGUCGCCUGUCACUGGGCAAUUUUGAAGACGAGAUUCUAAACAGUGACUGCGCUCGGAGAAUCUGUCGUGGCGAUAUCUUCGGACAGCGGUUCGACUCCGCUCGCCUCCACCA
rnacentral:tmRNA from 1 species